UUUAUACUUUGGCUAUUUUUUAUGUAACAAAAAUAUAAUGCUGUCUUUUGAGAAAAGAUUUUUGGUUUUCAUUUUCCCUUUGGAUUAAAACAUUGUGUUGCGAGAGCCAAAGUGCUGCGUGGGAGCUCUGUCGUCCUGAGCUGGGUGACUUGAGGCUCUGCAGUCUAGUGUGGUGAGAACUAGGGGACAUGAUUGUUUUGGUGCUCUUGGCUGUGUGUUUAUACUUUCUAAGGUCGGGAACGAGGAUCUACCAAAGAUUGAGAUAAAGUGAGCCGUUCCCACCACCCGGAAGGAAGCUCCCUCGCCACCAUCCCAAGCUCCUAGGGCAGAGAAGCUGAGCAAGUCCCAGAACCCAGAAGGAAGCUCCCCUGCCACCAUUCCAAGCUCCUAGGGCAGAGAAGGUGAUCCAGUCCCAGAACCCAGAAGGAAGCUCCCCUGCCACCAUCCCAAGCUCCUAGGGCAGAGAAGCUGAGCAAGUCCCAGAACCCAGAAGGAAGCUCCCCUGCCACCAUUCCAAGCUCCUAGGGCAGAGAAGGUGAUCCAGUCCCAGAACCCAGAAGGAAGCUCACCCGCCACCAUCCCAAGUCCCUAGGGCAGAGAAGCUGAGCCAGUCCCAAAACCCAGAAGGAAGUUCCCCUGCCACCAUCCCAAGAUCUUAGGGCAGAGAUGGUGAGCCGGUCCCAGAACCCAGAAGGGUGCCAGAAGAACCACCCCCACCAUAGAAAUGAGAAGACACAUAAACAAGCCUCAAAAACAGACUUUUGGAUCACCUACAGCAACCCCAAAGGGAAAUGAGAUAACAAUCUGAUACUCAACCACCUGGACUCUCUGAACUGGCAACAAAAGAGGAUCUGGGAAAAAUGAAAUCAGAAAUAAUUACUCAGAUAACAGCAAAGAUUUUGCUCAUGGUGCAAGACAUGAUUAAUAAAUCUAGAGAGGACAUAGAUAAAAAAAUAGAGGAUCUGAAGAACAUGAUGCACUCCCAACAUAGGAAACAAAUGGAAUCCAUAAAACAGAUGCAAACAGAUUUCCAGGAGAAUAAAAACUCCACUGAAAGUCUGCGCAGCAGAAUGAACCAAUGUGAGGAUUGAAUUUCAGAUAUAGAAGAAAAGAUUGCAAUUAGUGACCAGGAAAAGAAAAAUUGCUUUAAAAUUGUAAGGGAACACAAGAAAUCAAUCCAGCAGCUGCUAGACGAUGCAAAGAAGAGUAACAUAAGACUGAUCGGAGUCAAAGAAGAAAGAGGAGAGGGUGCAGAUGACAUCAAAAAACUAUUCACAGAAGUGAUGGCGGAAAACUUCCCAAGGAAGGGAAAAGAACUUGACAUACAGAUAAGUGAGGCAUAUAGGACUCUAAAUAGCCUUGAUCAAAAAAAAAAAACCCUACACGUAGGCAUAUAAUAGUUAGGAUUCCAGAAAUCCAACAGAAGAACAAAAUUCUACAAGCAGUGAGAGAAAAGAAACAAAUCACAUACAAAGGAAAGCCCAUCAGAAUCACAGCAGACUUCUCAAUGCAAACCCUCAAGGCAAGAAGAGCUUGGAGUGCUGUAUUUCAAGCCCUAAAGGAAAACAGCCUCCAUCCUAGAUUGAUGUACCCUGCAAAACUAUCUUUCAAAAUUGAUGAAGAAAUAAGAUACUUUCAUGAUAAAGAGCACCUCAGGAACUUCAUGAAUACCAAACCAGCACUCCAAAAAAUUUUAGACAAUACCCUAGGAAAAGAAAAUGAGGAUCACAACCCCAGGAAAUCCAGCAGAAUGAAUCCAUUGGGUGUGACAAAUUAAACGCAAAGGGGGAGAAUCCAACGAAAAGAAAGAGUCAUGACAAGGCUUUUAAAACUUUGAACUUCAUCUCCCUAAUGAGUGCAUAAUUCAAUCUUGUUUUUGUACUGAUUAGUAUUUUUCUGAUUCUAGAGUUGCACACCUUUCCUUGUGCUGUACUGGCUAUUUAUCAUCUUAUGUCUACUUUUUAAUUAGGUUGUCUAUUAAUGAGCUCUAAGAAUUCUAUAUAUAUUCUGGUCAUAGGUUAUAUGGAC
rnacentral:lncRNA from 1 species